AUUGAACGCUGGCGGCAUGCCUUACACAUGCAAGUCGAACGGCAGCACGGGUGCUUGCACCUGGUGGCGAGUGGCGAACGGGUGAGUAAUACAUCGGAACAGGUCCUGUAGUGGGGGAUAGCCCGGCGAAAGCCGGAUUAAUACCGCAUACGAUCUACGGACGAAAGCGGGGGACCUUCGGGCCUCGCGCUAUAGGGUUGGCCGAUGACUGAUUAGCUAGUGGGUGGGGUAAAGGCCUACCAAGGCGACGAUCAGUAGCUGGGCUGAGCGGACGACCAGCCCCACUGGGACUGAGACACGGCCCAGACUCCUACGGGAGGCAGCAGUGGGGAAUUUUGGACAAUGGGCGAAAGCCUGUUCCAGCAAUGCCGCGUGUGUGAAGAAGGCCUUCGGGUUGUAAAGCACUUUUGUCCGGAAAGAAAUCCUUGGCCCUAAUACGGUCGGGGGAUGACGGUACCGGAAGAAUAAGCACCGGCUAACUACGUG
rnacentral:rRNA from 1 species